UACGAGAGGCCCAAACAUUAUUCGGAAUUACUGGGCUUAAAGAGUUCGUAGGCGGCAUGGCAAGUAGGGUGUGAAAUCCCUCGGCUCAACCGAGGAAUUGCGCUCUAAACUGCCGUGCUAGAGGAAGCUAGAGGUGAGCGGAACUGAUGGUGGAGCGGUGAAAUGCGUUGAUAUCAUCAGGAACACCGGAGGCGAAGGCGGCUCACUGGGGCUUUUCUGACGCUGAGGAACGAAAGCCAGGGUAGCGAACGGG
rnacentral:rRNA from 1 species